ensembl:lncRNA
AUUUUGCUGGAGAUUCUUGCUUAUGUGAAGUCUUCUAAGGGUGUGUGAAACUUAGAGGCAGUUGUAUCUUGGAAGUUCCUGGGGAUACCAUUGGCUUUGUUGGGCAGCACUGUGCACGGUCCUGCUUCUACUGCUGGAGUAGCCUGUAAUUUUGCUGCAAGCAGUGCAAACCUAUUUCUGUCUCGCUGGGUGGAAAUUUCUCUGACAGUGAUCAUAUCUAGGCAGAAGCACAGAAGGAACAUUUCAGUAUAUAUCAGGAGCAGUUCCUGAAUCUAAACAAAAGGAAUGAUUAGCAAAUGCAUAGUAGGAAGAGAACGACACAACCUUAUCCUUCACGUGGCCAGAAUGUUUGGUGUUUGGGAUGGGAAUGGUAAUUGACUGAAAGAAUAAUGGGUUUAAAAUCUUUAGUUUUUUGUUAUAUUAGUAUUCUGUUCUUAUGGUUUUGUUUUGAGGGAAUAAACGCUUUAUCUGUAGAAGAUAGAAUAAUCACUAUUUGACAUCCAUCACUGACUUUUUCAACCUCACUGAAUUUCAUGUUAUUUUUAUGCAUAAGCUAGAAAUAUGAUAGUGAUUACUAAGAGCAUAGUUUCGCUCUCAUGGCAAAAGCAUACUCCAUACUCCAGCGUGUCUAUUAAUCUCUUUUCAUGAUAAUAAAUCAGCAAUUUUGUGGCACCUGUAUUUUUAUGUGAAAUUCAUUUCGACUGUGUGAAAUUGGAACUUGCUCCUUGUUGGGUUAUAAAAUUACAGAUUAAUGAUUUCUCACAUUAUUGCCUGCUCUAACCCUGUCACUCUUUAGAAUAGAGAAAUUAUUUCUCAGAAGGCUGAAUACAACUUAAAGAAUUUCUCUUUUGAAAUUACACAUUAUUCUGUCCACUACAUUUAUUUGCAUAAAUAUACAUUUCUUAUUGAAUGUAAAAAGGUGUUUUUUUGUUUGUUUGUUUUUUUGUUUUUCUCUGUACCAAUAAAAUGCCGUCUAAAACAACAGAAAU